CCCGUAAAUUAUGCGAGAGUUUAUUGUACUUUAUAAUGAGAAUUGGGGGCUGAUGUGUUAUUAUGUAAUAAUUUUGGGGCAUAAGCAUAAUAAUAAUUCUAUAAUUUAGUAACUUGGCCAUUAAGCAAUUGAGGGGCUUGUGUAAUCGGAUAAUUGAAUGUUAUUAACCAAGAAAAUUAGAGAGAGAGACACGUAGAAUAAAAGAUGAGUCAGACUUCCUCUUCAUCUUCAUCCGAUUCUUCCUACACUUCACUCCUCUUCUCCAAACUCCUUUCUCUCUCUCGCUCUCUCUCAUCAUCUCUCUCUUUCUCUCUCGCCCGCUCUCUCUUCCUCUCUCUCUCGAUCCUUGGCUGAAAUCAUGGAAGUUAAUUGAAGAAAAAAAAGUCGGAUUUAUAGUGGUGGUGGUCUCCAGUAGCAGUCGCCGGCGGUGGUGGCUGGAAUCCGACAAAGAAGACGAGCUGUCCAGAAUUUCAAUUUCAGAGUUUUGCCUUUUCCGUAAAUCAAUUAAACGGAGGUCUUAAAGAUGGAGCAUCGAUGAUCCGAAGGUACCGUUCGAAACCUUAAUAAGUUAGAUUUCCAGUGGUGGUGGUUCUUGAUUGUUUACAUCAGCGGUGGUCAUCGGAAUUGGCUAGAACUUCAGCUCGCUCGUUGAAACGAAGGGAAGCAAAUUCUGCUGCCGCACCUGUUUUCGGAGCCGAAAUCGAAGGGUUUCGAAUGCGAAUUUCGAAUCGGUUCCUUCAGGAAACUCGUAGAGGACAUCGUAAACUAUAAGUGUUGAGCGUAGUAAAGCUCUCACUCAAGGUUUAAGCUUAAAGAUGCUUCUAUAGCACUUCUAUAACACUAGCGUUGGACUCCAGGUGAGAAACUAUGACUCCUUAUCCGAUUUCUUUCCUGCGCUUAAUAUCUCCUUUGUUUGAACCAAAUAUAUUCUCCAUCUUGAAUCCUUUGAUGCAUUGAUUAUAUUUUUCUUGGAAUAUGAUCCUUAAUGUUCUGCGAGCAUAUUCGUUUCCUUGGCUCGAACUUGGAACCUUGAUCUUGUUCUUGAAAUCUCGAACUUGUCAAUUCUCUUGGUUGCUAUGUUCACGGCUAAUUCCUAUACUUGAUUCCUUGGCCUGAACAUUUUCCUUGAACUCGAUAUUGAACUAUAUUUAUUCUCAAAAUCUUGUCUUGAAUGCUUUCCGAGAAUAAAUAUUUUGUUGGCUCGAACUUGAAUCUCGUGUUUAUUGAAUUCUUUGAGAUCUUGAUAUACUCGUUCUUGGAACCUGACAUGGAAUUUAUUGUUCUUCUUGAAUUCCAUAUUCACGACAAUUCUUCAUUGGCUUGAAUUGAAAUCUGAACAUGUUCUUCAUUAUCCUGAGACUUGAUAUUCAAUUAUCAUGAUCGUGACUUAUCUUGUGAAUGAUUGACUUGAUUCUUGAAUUGAGUCUUGAAAUAAAUGACUUGAUAUUCCUAAAAGGAAUGAUAUUGAUUCUUGAACCUAUUGUCCCCACCCUUGAGGACGCUCUUGGGGGAGCUGGGCCCUAGGACCAUUUCGGCAAGACGAUCGGGCAGUAUUGGGCUGACGAUGACUGGUCUCCCGAAUGGUACCUCCUGAUGGUUCGGACUCACGUUCGUUUGGAGUUAAACGUUCCUGAGCCGGAUCGGCACGUUCCGGUCGUGCCUCUUGCUUGUUUCCGACCGAGUGGCCACUCGGGACGGAGUGGAGGGAUAAGGAUGUCAUAUGAUUUUAUUUGUUGGGAGUUACAAGGUAGGAGACCCCACCAAAUAUUGAACUCAAGCCGUACAUGUUACACUCUUGUACAUGUUACACUUAUGUUAAUGAAAUUCUUGUAAAGUCUCUCGUUAUAUGUUCUGUUCUGUUGAUUCUCAUCAUACUCAUGGAUCAUAUGUUUUUCACUAAGUCAUUCGGACUUAUUCGUUUCUCCUUUCUGAUAUUAAUGCGCAGGUAAAAGAAAGAUUUAUACCUAAAUUUUCAUACUAAGAGUUAAAGCUCGUGUAUGCCUCCGAUUAGUCUCGUCGAGAGGUAUCUCUGCUUAUGUUCCGUAUAGUUUGAUCGAGAAUGUUGUAAUAGAGUAAGUGGUGUCGAAGUCGACUUGUAAUAGAACCUCCUUUUGUAAACACGAUGGUAUAGA